rnacentral:rRNA from 1 species
UNUGACUUGAGUGCAGAAGGGGAGAGUGGAAUUCCAUGUGUAGCGGUGAAAUGCGUAGAUAUAUGGAGGAACACCAGUGGCGAAAGCGGCUCUCUGGUCUGUCACUGACGCUGAGGCUCGAAAGCGUGGGUAGCGAACAGGAUUAGAUACCCUGGUAGUNCACGCCGUAAACGAUGAGUGCUAGGUGUUAGGCCCUUUCCGGGGCUUAGUGCCGGAGCUAACGCAAUAAGCACUCCGCCUGGGGAGUACGACCGCAAGGUUGAAACUCAAAGGAAUUGACGGGGGCCCGCACAAGCGGUGGAGCAUGUGGUUUAAUUCGAAGCAACGCGAAGAACCUUACCAGGUCUUGACAUCCCGAUGCUAUUCUUAGAGAUAGGAAGUUACUUCGGUACAUCGGAGACAGGUGGUGCAUGGUUGUCGUCAGCUCGUGUCGUGAGAUGUUGGGUUAAGUCCCGCAACGAGCGCAACCCUUAUUGUUAGUUGCCAUCAUUAAGUUGGGCACUCUAGCGAGACUGCCGGUAAUAAACCGGAGGAAGGUGGGGAUGACGUCAAAUCAUCAUGCCCCUUAUGACCUGGGCUACACACGUGCUACAAUGGUCGGUACAACGAGUUGCGAGCCGGUGACGGCAAGCUAAUCUCUGAAAGCCGAUCUCAGUUCGGAUUGGAGGCUGCAACUCGCCUCCAUGAAGUCGGAAUCGCUAGUAAUCGCGGAUCAGCACGCCGCGGUGAAUACGUUCCCGGGCCUUGUACACACCGCCCGUCACACCACGAGAGUUUGUAACACCCGAANUCGGUGAGGUA